GUGCUCGCUUCAGUAGCACAUAUACUGAAAUUGGAACAAUACAGAGAAGAUUAGCAUGGCCGCUGUGCAAGGAUGACAUACAAAUUCGUGAAGUGUUCCACAUUAAA
ensembl:snRNA U6 U6 spliceosomal RNA